rnacentral:rRNA from 1 species
UCCGUAGGGUGAACCUGCGGAGGGAUCAUUGCUGGAACGCGCCCCAGGCGCACCCAGAAACCCUUUGUGAACUUAUACCUUACUGUUGCCUCGGCGCAUGCUGGCCCCCUCGGGGUCCCUUGGAGACAAGGAGCAGGCACGCCGGCGGCCAAGUUAACUCUUGUUUUUACACUGAAACUCUGAGAAAAAACACAAAUGAAUCAAAACUUUCAACAACGGAUCUCUUGGUUCUGGCAUCGAUGAAGAACGCAGCGAAAUGCGAUAAGUAAUGUGAAUUGCAGAAUUCAGUGAAUCAUCGAAUCUUUGAACGCACAUUGCGCCCUCUGGUAUUCCGGAGGGCAUGCCUGUUCGAGCGUCAUUUCAACCCUCAAGCAUUGCUUGGUGUUGGGGCACUGCCUGUAAAAGGGCAGGCCCUGAAAUCUAGUGGCGAGCUCGCCAGGACCCCGAGCGCAGUAGUUAAACCCUCGCUUUGGAAGGCCCUGGCGGUGCCCUGCCGUUAAACCCCCAACUUUUGAAAAUUUGACCUAUGGAUCGAUGCUAGCAUGCGUCACUCG